GGUCUUGUGAGCCGGGCAAGGCCCGCCUAUAUUGGCCUUGUGCGGGGCAACCCGGACUAUGGUGAUAAACGCACCUGUAAUAGACGGCUCGGACCCGGGGGCGGUACCCGGCGACUCCACCAUUCCACCCGUUCGUUUCGGGGGUUCGGGGUCGAAAUAGGAUCGACGAACGUUCAAAGAGGCCAGCUUUUACUCGGUGAGGUACCACCGUUAUCGGUCCAAAUGUACAGUUGCAAACGACAACCGUGCUCCGAUGGCUCUUGCUGCGUAAGCAGUUCGAACAUCGAAACUUAAGUCCUUGCGCUUAGCCGCGUAAGGCGGGGUUCGCAGGUACCUGGCAACAGAAACCUGCACC
rnacentral:tmRNA from 1 species